CACGAUGAUUUCAAUUUUUCAUCUUUUUUUACGUCGAAAUCAUCAUGAAUAGUUUACAAAAGGAAUAUUGUCCACACAGUUGUUUCCCAUAAUCGACCUUUACCGCACCCGGAAGAGGCCAUCGAGUGUGUUCAAUCAAAGCUUGGAAAAUGGACAGUUGCGCGAUGGCUCAUGGCGCGAUGGCUGGGGAAAGUUGAUAGAGUGCAUCGGGAGGUCUGAGGUUUUUUUUAAUUAUUGCGGACCGCAGCCGUACGUUCAUUUUUUCUUUCAAAAAUUUACCUCACAAUGAGCGCAGAAAGUCUCCGAAUAGGAAGAAGGGAACCAAAAGAGAUGUGCUUAUCAUCUAAUCGGAGCAACGACCACUAAAGCACUUGGAAACGGAUCCCGCAG